UUAAGCGACUAAGCGUACACGGUGGAUGCCUAGGCAGUCAGAGGCGAUGAAGGGCGUGCUAAUCUGCGAAAAGCGUCGGUAAGGUGAUAUGAACCGUUAUAACCGACGAUACCCGAAUGGGGAAACCCAGUGCAAUUCGUUGCACUAUUGCAUGGUGAAUACAUAGCCAUGCAAGGCGAACCGGGGGAACUGAAACAUCUAAGUACCCCGAGGAAAAGAAAUCAACCGAGAUUCCCCCAGUAGCGGCGAGCGAACGGGGAGGAGCCCAGAACCUGAAUCAGCAUAUGUGUUAGUGGAAGCGUCUGGAAAGUCGCACGGUACAGGGUGAUAGUCCCGUACACAAAAAUGCAUAUGUUGUGAGUUCGAUGAGUAGGGCGGGACACGUGACAUCCUGUCUGAAUAUGGGGGGACCAUCCUCCAAGGCUAAAUACUCCUGACUGACCGAUAGUGAACCAGUACCGUGAGGGAAAGGCGAAAAGAACCCCGGCGAGGGGAGUGAAAUAGAACCUGAAACCGUGUACGUACAAGCAGUGGGAGCACCUUCGUGGUGUGACUGCGUACCUUUUGUAUAAUGGGUCAGCGACUUAUAUUUUGUAGCAAGGUUAACCGAAUAGGGGAGCCGUAGGGAAACCGAGUCUUAACUGGGCGAAUAGUUGCAAGGUAUAGACCCGAAACCCGGUGAUCUAGCCAUGGGCAGGUUGAAGGUUGGGUAACACUAACUGGAGGACCGAACCGACUAAUGUUGAAAAAUUAGCGGAUGACUUGUGGCUGGGGGUGAAAGGCCAAUCAAACCGGGAGAUAGCUGGUUCUCCCCGAAAGCUAUUUAGGUAGCGCCUCGUGAACUCAUCUUCGGGGGUAGAGCACUGUUUCGGCUAGGGGGUCAUCCCGACUUACCAAACCGAUGCAAACUCCGAAUACCGAAGAAUGUUAUCACGGGAGACACACGGCGGGUGCUAACGUCCGUCGUGAAGAGGGAAACAACCCAGACCGCCAGCUAAGGUCCCAAAGUCAUGGUUAAGUGGGAAACGAUGUGGGAAGGCAUAGACAGCCAGGAUGUUGGCUUAGAAGCAGCCAUCAUUUAAAGAAAGCGUAAUAGCUCACUGGUCGAGUCGGCCUGCGCGGAAGAUGUAACGGGGCUAAACCAUGCACCGAAGCUGCGGCAGCGACACUUAGGUGUUGUUGGGUAGGGGAGCGUUCUGUAAGCCGUUGAAGGUGACCUGUGAGGGUUGCUGGAGGUAUCAGAAGUGCGAAUGCUGACAUAAGUAACGAUAAUGCGGGUGAAAAACCCGCACGCCGGAAGACCAAGGGUUCCUGUCCAACGUUAAUCGGGGCAGGGUGAGUCGACCCCUAAGGCGAGGCUGAAAAGCGUAGUCGAUGGGAAACAGGUUAAUAUUCCUGUACUUGGUGUUACUGCGAAGGGGGGACGGAGAAGGCUAGGCUAGCCGGGCGACGGUUGUCCCGGUUUAAGCAUGUAGGCGGAGUGACUUGGUAAAUCCGGUUGCUUAUCAACGCUGAGGUGUGAUGACGAGUCACUACGGUGAUGAAGUAGUUGAUGCCAAGCUUCCAGGAAAAGCCUCUAAGCAUCAGGUAACAUUAAAUCGUACCCCAAACCGACACAGGUGGUCAGGUAGAGAAUACUCAGGCGCUUGAGAGAACUCGGGUGAAGGAACUAGGCAAAAUGGUGCCGUAACUUCGGGAGAAGGCACGCUGGCAUUAGGUAAAGGGACUUGCUCCCGGAGCUGAAGCCAGUCGCAGAUACCAGCUGGCUGCAACUGUUUAAUAAAAACACAGCACUGUGCAAACACGAAAGUGGACGUAUACGGUGUGACGCCUGCCCGGUGCUGGAAGGUUAAUUGAUGGGGUCAGCCGCAAGGCGAAGCUCUUGAUCGAAGCCCCAGUAAACGGCGGCCGUAACUAUAACGGUCCUAAGGUAGCGAAAUUCCUUGUCGGGUAAGUUCCGACCUGCACGAAUGGCGUAAUGAUGGCCAGGCUGUCUCCACCCGAGACUCAGUGAAAUUGAACUCGCUGUGAAGAUGCAGUGUACCCGCGGCAAGACGGAAAGACCCCGUGAACCUUUACUAUAGCUUGACACUGAACAUUGAGCCUUGAUGUGUAGGAUAGGUGGGAGGCAUUGAAGUGUGGACGCCAGUCUGCAUGGAGCCAACCUUGAAAUACCACCCUUUAAUGUUUGAUGUUCUAACUCGGCCCCAUAAUCUGGGGUGAGGACAGUGUCUGGUGGGUAGUUUGACUGGGGCGGUCUCCUCCCAAAGAGUAACGGAGGAGCACGAAGGUUAGCUAAUCACGGUCGGACAUCGUGAGGUUAGUGCAAAGGCAUAAGCUAGCUUGACUGCGAGAGUGACGGCUCGAGCAGGUACGAAAGUAGGUCUUAGUGAUCCGGUGGUUCUGAAUGGAAGGGCCAUCGCUCAACGGAUAAAAGGUACUCCGGGGAUAACAGGCUGAUACCGCCCAAGAGUUCAUAUCGACGGCGGUGUUUGGCACCUCGAUGUCGGCUCAUCACAUCCUGGGGCUGAAGUAGGUCCCAAGGGUAUGGCUGUUCGCCAUUUAAAGUGGUACGCGAGCUGGGUUUAGAACGUCGUGAGACAGUUCGGUCCCUAUCUGCCGUGGGCGUUGGAAGAUUGAGAGGGGCUGCUCCUAGUACGAGAGGACCGGAGUGGACGAAUCACUGGUGUUCGGGUUGUCAUGCCAAUGGCAUUGCCCGGUAGCUAAAUUCGGAAGAGAUAACCGCUGAAAGCAUCUAAGCGGGAAACUUGCCUCGAGAUGAGUCUUCCCUGGGGCUUUAAGCCCCCUGAAGGAACGUUAAAGACUAUGACGUUGAUAGGCUGGGUGUGUAAGUGCAGCGAUGCAUUGAGCUAACCAGUACUAAUGAUCCGUGAGGCUUAACCUU
rnacentral:rRNA from 1 species